CAAAUACAAUCAAAUAUCAGUUUCUACGGAAAAAGGGAAUCCGGUGAAAUGCCGGAACGGCCCCUGCCACCGUAAUCUGGACGAAACCGUACAUAGCCACUGCUGAAAAGUGGGAAGGCGCGGGAUUAGGAUGAAAGAGAGUCGGGAAACCUGCCGGAGAAGACGAGCUUAG
rnacentral:ncRNA from 2 species